UACAGAGGUGGCAAGCGUUGUUCGGAAUUACUGGGCGUAAAGGGCUCGUAGGCGGUUUGUCGCGUCGGGAGUGAAAAUCCAGGGCUUAACUCUGGACUGGCUUCCGAUACGGGCAGACUAGAGGUAUGCAGGGGAGAACGGAAUUCCUGGUGUAGCGGUGAAAUGCGCAGAUAUCAGGAGGAACACCGGUGGCGAAGGCGGUUCUCUGGGCAUUACCUGACGCUGAGGAGCGAAAGUGUGGGGAGCGAACAGG
rnacentral:rRNA from 1 species